GUUCAUUCCUGAACAUAUACUAAAAUUGGAACAAUACAGAGAAGAUUAGCAUAGCCCCUGCGCAAGGAUGACACACAAACGUCCCUGUACGCAUAGAAUAAAU
rnacentral:snRNA from 1 species